rnacentral:lncRNA from 10 species
UUUGCUGUUGGUGGGGGCAGGGAGCAUGGUACAGGGGUGACUGAGUUCCUGCUUUGUUAGUUCCCACUGAAACUGAUUGACAAAAAGGGCCUGGCACCUCUCUCUUCUCUCUCUUUCUCUCUCUCACCAUGUGAUCUAUGCAUGCCUGUUCCCGUCUGCUUGCACUAAGAAUGGAAACAGCCUAAGUUCCUCACCAGAAGCAGAGGCUGGCACCAUGUUUGUUAUGCAGCCUGCAGAACCAGAAAUCAUGGGAAAAACUGCCCAUUUCUGUUUUGUCCACUUUGCUUUGGGAAGUGAGAGCUAUAGUCAUUAUCACCACAUCCCCUGGCAUCCAAUUCCACAUUCUACCUCAGAAGUUAUUUGGAGGAAUCCAAGGACUUAGAUAUUUUACCAAUGUCUCUGGUGAUUUUUAUAUCGGUGGCCCAUGGGUGUUGACCUAUGAAACUGCUCUGCAGCAGAUAUUGAGAAAUAGGAGUUCAGACCAUCGAACUCCAAGUACUUCAGAUUUGGAACUCGGACUGCUUUCCUUGCUCCUCAGCCUGCAGAUGGCCUAUUGUGGGACCUUGUGAUUAUGUAGUGAGACGAGCAUGAGUGGAGCAGGAGACGGCUGUCCCCCACCCACAAGGAAUAUCAGAUGAUGGUUCAGCGAUCAUCACAUUGCCUCUCUGAAAGUGAUAAAUUGGCAGCUGGCACCAGGGAGAGGCUAUUUCCUGAUGGCCCACACCUGUUGCACUAAGAUGUUAAUCGAAUGCAGAUUCCAGGGAGAAACAACUUCCUGGGCAUGUGCGUAAGAGACAAAAUGGCAGGUAUGACCUUCUGGGGACACUCCACCAGAAAAGGGAAGAAAACCUCAGAUGGGCAUGCAUAUAACUUCCUAAACACACUGCUCACACUCUCCUCCCAAGGGUAAGGAGGGCACUGCACAUGCAGGCAGCCCAUCCUAAGGGAAGCAUCCUGGGAAAGGGGUCAGUCUAUAUGGUUCUGGGAUCAAGAUUAAACACCACAUUAGACCUUCAAGUUGCCCACUUGGGUCUCUUCUAUGUGUAUUUUUCUUUCCUUUCUUUUCUGCUCUAAAGCUUUUUUAAAUAAACAUACACAUCCCUCCUCUGAAACUUGCCUUGGUCUCUUUUUCUGCCAUAUGCAACUCAGUCAAAUUAUUUCUUCUGAGGAGGAAAAAAUUGAGGUAGCUGCAUUCCCAUACAGAUUCACCAUCGGUAACUCAGAUACCUUCUACUGGCCAUAUGUUUGGUGUUCUAUUCAAGAAAUAAUUGCUAAAGCCAAUGUCUUAAAGUGUUUUUCUUAUGUUUUUCUUCUAAGAGUUUUACAGUUUCAGGUCUUACACUUAAGUAUUUAAUUAAUUUGAGUUGAUUUUAUGCAUGGUGUAGGAUGUGUGUAAUAUUCAGUUUUUCUAACACUAUUUGUUGAAGAGACUAUUCUUUUUCCACUGUGUAUCCUUAGAAGCAUUGCUGAAGUGUUGUUG